rnacentral:lncRNA from 1 species
GUCGAGAGGGAACACGAACUUACAUUUGGCAACAGUGCUGAAUUAAUGGCUGCACGAAAAAUCGCACUUAAAGUUACACAUAAACACAAGUCGUGUCCAACCAUGCUCUAUGGUCGUGUCCAUUAGACCUCUUCUAAGCAGGUCUGAGUCUUGAGCCAGUCAUCAUCAUCAACAUGCAAAAGUUAUCCUUGUCAUCACUCAUCAUAAGUAACUGUUGUUGCUGGUUGACAGCUUCAUCGGUGAACAGCAUCCUGCUGUAUUGGAGAGUCUCCAGCUGAUCCAUCCCUUCUUUCCCCCAUCUUUCAAUGUCCUUGUGUACACUCAUGUGAAUGUGUGUGUAUUCACGAGGACUCCCUUCAUCCUAUCCUGCCUGGCGUGUUCAACUUCAUCUCUUCAGAGUUCGGAUGGAUCACUUGGAAAUGCUUGGUGCUAUUUCCCGAGUUACAAGGUGUGAUUUGUGAGCCAGUCAUCAUCAUUAACAUACAAAAGUGUUCCUUGUCAUCACUCAUCAGCAGCAACUGGUGUCGACUUCAUCGGGGGAAAACAUCCUGCUGUAUUGGAGAGUCUCCGGCUGAUACAUCCCUUCUUUCCCCCUUCUUUCAAUGUCCUCGUGUACACUCAUGUGAAUGUGUUGUGUAUUCACGAGGACUCCCUUCCUCCUAUCCCACCUGGCGUGUUCAACUUCAUCUCUUCAGAGUUCGGAUGGAUCACUUGGAAAUGCUUGGCUGUAUUUCCCGAGCUACAAGGUAGGAAAAAUCUACCCGAUUUCCCAUUUGUGAGCCUUGCUUUUCGUUACAAAAUCUCGAAGGCUGUUGUAGAAGUUGCCCACCUCUCAUUGGCAGCAAAUGAGGAGAGUAAUCACAUGUAUAAUGAACGGACCGCAUUCAGAAUGUGGUCAACCCUGGGUCAUCAAUUAGGUGUUUCACGGGAACAGGGCGAACCUCGACACCAUCUUCUUCUUCGUUCAGUUGGGUUAGCAUAGUUUUCGAAAAAACUGUCUUGCCCCAUCAGGUCAACUUUUUAUGUUUGAAGUCUCAUUAGGAAUAACUUUUACCGUGAGUUUGAGUCAGCGCAAUUAUUUUACUUCAUGAUGCUUCCGAGAUUUUCAAACUCAUUUCACAUAAGUGUAUCAUUCAUGACUUUGCGUACGGCAUUUUUUCUUAUCGUAAUGGUUUUGGACUUUUCUGCAAUUCCUUGACACCUUCAGUGUUUCCGAUCCGACCGAUGAAAUCUUCGUGAAUUUUUUGUCAUGGGGUCGAUUGCUCGAUUUCAUUUUCUUUGACUGAAGUCAUACUUUGAAUUCGUUCAGAUUUUAUGAUUUCAUUCAUUACCCAAUUGACAUUUAAACCUGCAACUAACUGAUCUAGAAAUUUCAUUGAUACAUUUUUUUUCUACAUGAAAACCCAUCCUUGUGUUGUUUAAGGAACUUUUUUUUUCAAGGCUUUCAUUUCAACUACAUUUUGUUAAAUAUCGUUCACGCAUGAGAGAAACAGUCGAUCACAUGGGAAAUUGGUGAACGUCUCGAUGACACUUCGAAUUCCGUCAACGAAUCGAACCAAUGAACUGGGAAUAUAAUAAGAUGGUUUCCGCUCUCCGCGUUCAAUUUUAUGGUGCGCCGUUUGGGACUAUGGCCCGCUAGUUUGGCAAUGUAUGUUUUUAUUUUUAUCCGUGAGCUUAAUUUGUUCGUUGAAAUGUUCUCUAUCAAGUGACAAGUGACGUUCACAGAUGGUAGCACGUUUCGGACCGGAGUAGUAAAUAUUGAUUGGCAUGUCGAUUUGCAUUUAGAGGAGAGCAUCGAGACUAUUCUUCUUGUUUGUGAAAUUUAACAAACCCGUUCGUCUCCCAGCGACUGGUUUUUGAUUCUGUGGGACUGCUGAAUUGCGUCUUUUACCACUCUCGCAUUCUUCGUUUUCUGUCGCAGACGACAUUGUGUAAGUUGUACGCACGUGUAUAUCAUAACCUGUUGCGUGACAUUUAUCAUUGUGGUUACAGUGGCUAGAGCCAAUUCAAAUGGGUCAACUGCGAUUCAACAUUUGCUUUCUUAUUCAGGCGAAAUUGGGGCGUUUUUGGGGGUGGGGGGCUCAAUCAGCUCAGUAGGGCCGAUUCUACACCCUGCUUCAUUUUAUGGGAUUGAAUUCCCUGGUGCAAAUUCAAGCCGGUAAAAAGCGACAAACAGAAAGAACGAUAUCUUCAAUUGGAAAAUCAGAUACGCUUGAAGAGUGUAUUUUAUUACGACACCUCAAGCGAGAAUGGCUGAUAACUUGACUAAAAAUAGGGUAUUUUAUUUAAAUACUGAAUCGCAUGCAGGGUGGGUUGAUUGCUAUCAAUUCCAAGGUGAGGUAUGUUGUUUCAAGAGGGAAAAAAAAUAUAACGUUUACGUAACAAUUCAAGGUUAAAGAAUGUCAACUAUUUAUACUCUGACGGUCAAUGCUUGGGAUUGAAUGAAAUGCGUUUCUCAAACGCCUUAUCAGCCACCGGUUUUUCGACUCUUCAAAAUAAAAUAUUCCUCAAGUCCAAAAUAAAUGUUCGUCACGCCAAUUGAUAGAGAGGGCAUUGUUUCAAGAAACCUACGUGUGUCUCUAUUAAUUAAUUAAACCUGAAAUCAACUCGGAGUAAAUUUGACCUUGUUCUGUUGGCACCAUAAUCUGAGACCCAUAGGAUUGUAAUAAUUGAAAAGCGGCGGAGGCAUGCAUGGCGUAGAAUUUCUUUAGUUGGCGAUUGGCAACGGAUGUCAAAGGUAAUUUCUCUUUGGCUGCACUCACGAUGGAACAGCAAGCCGUCGCCACCGUAAUUGAUUGUGAUAGUAAAUAGAUUGAAAUUUAUGGGGAAAAAAAACUAUACAAUCGUGGUAUAAUAAAAAUCCAGGCAGAAAAUAAAGAAUUUAAAUAUUACCAAAAGCAAGGAAACUGAAGUAGACAAUGCCAUAGCUGCUAAUUUCGAAAUAAGUUUGACGCAGGGUCAAAGUCUCUACUAAAGUUUCUACUGGUAUAUGCGUGGCAUCAUUAUAUGUAAAGCUGUCGAGAAGGGAGUACGUAACUUAAUUUGCUUUUAACCGUUUUUUACUCGCCUAUUUCUUCUGUUUCUUCUUCAAUUGAUUAUCAAGAGUCAGGUAUAGGAAAAACAUUGAUCCUUAUUUAUUCAAAAAAGGCGCGGGAUAAAUUCUAACCUUUUUCCGCGCAUUAUUUUGUUUGUCGUUGGCAUUGCUGAAUAAUAUGCCCACGCCACCAUGUAUUGAACUGCCUAUACCAAAACCAAUUAUCUAAAAAUAGAGGACUUGAUUUACUUAUUGAAUAAAUGAUUUCCUGGUCCGGUUGAAACCUGUCUUGAUUUAGAUAACCAACAUUUUGAUUCAAGGUCAAAGAAAAACA